UACAGAGGGUGCGAGCGUUAAUCGGAUUUACUGGGCGUAAAGCGUGCGUAGGCGGCUUUUUAAGUCGGAUGUGAAAUCCCUGAGCUUAACUUAGGAAUUGCAUUCGAUACUGGGAAGCUAGAGUAUGGGAGAGGAUGGUAGAAUUCCAGGUGUAGCGGUGAAAUGCGUAGAGAUCUGGAGGAAUACCGAUGGCGAAGGCAGCCAUCUGGCCUAAUACUGACGCUGAGGUACGAAAGCAUGGGGGAGCAAACAGGAUUAGAUACCCUGGUAGUCCAUGCCGUAAGCGAUGUCUACUAGCCGUUGGGGCCUUUGAGGCUUAGUGGCGCAGCUAACGCGAUAAGUAGACCGCCUGGGGAGUACGGUCGCAAGACCAAAACUCAA
rnacentral:rRNA from 1 species